rnacentral:rRNA from 1 species
AGUGAACGCUGGCGGUAGGCCUAACACAUGCAAGUCGAACGGCAGCACAGUAAGAGCUUGCUCUUACGGGUGGCGAGUGGCGGACGGGUGAGGAAUACAUCGGAAUCUACUUUUUCGUGGGGGAUAACGUAGGGAAACUUACGCUAAUACCGCAUACGACCUACGGGUGAAAGCAGUGGAUCUUCGGACCUUGCGCGAUUGAAUGAGCCGAUGUCGGAUUAGCUAGUUGGCGGGGUAAAGGCCCACCAAGGCGACGAUCCGUAGCUGGUCUGAGAGGAUGAUCAGCCACACUGGAACUGAGACACGGUCCAGACUCCUACGGGAGGCAGCAGUGGGGAAUAUUGGACAAUGGGCGCAAGCCUGAUGCAGCCAUACCGCGUGAGUGAAGAAGGCCUUCGGGUUGUAAAGCCCUUUUGUUGGGAAAGAAAAGCAGCAGGUUAAUACCCCGCUGUUCUGACGGUACCCAAAGAAUAAGCACCGGCUAACUUCGUG